ACGACCUUACUUGAACAAAAUCUAUUCUAUGGCUUGUACCACUGUAUCCUUGAUUUCUAAGGAGGCAAACAACCAAGUCUGAUUGAUGAAGCAUGGCCAUGUGACCAGAGCGUGAUUAACAAUCAUCCGUGGUUCCUCGAGCUGUGGUACAGUAGAUGAUCGUUCUUAUAUCUGCCCAGAUCUGAGAUAGUCUCAUGGCUGUCUGACAGACU